AGUACCUAGACUCUAUAUAGCUGCAUAAUAAUAAGUCCAACGUAUGAAUGUAAGAUAGCUUCACCGAGAGCCAAAACUAAUUCAGUGGCAUAAGCGGAUUGGAAAACUCAGGGGCUAAACUCUCCCAAAUAUUCUAUUAGCCCAGCCCUCACCUCAUCUAUCCUAACCUAAUCAAACCUAACCUAAACUUCCCAAAAAUGUUCGUAUUAUGUUUUAAAAUUCAAAAGUUUGCAAACAAAUACAACAUUUUUCUCGCCUUUCCUUGUUAAAAACUGCAGAGUAUUUAAAUUAUUUUUUGUACAAAUUGGAAUUUAUAUGUAUCUAUAUUAUU